AGGGAAGGCGGGGGGCAGGCCUAACACAUGCAAGUCGAGCGGAUGAAGGGAGCUUGCUCCUGGAUUCAGCGGCGGACGGGUGAGUAAUGCCUAGGAAUCUGCCUGGUAGUGGGGGAUAACGUCCGGAAACGGGCGCUAAUACCGCAUACGUCCUGAGGGAGAAAGUGGGGGAUCUUCGGACCUCACGCUAUCAGAUGAGCCUAGGUCGGAUUAGCUAGUUGGUGGGGUAAAGGCCUACCAAGGCGACGAUCCGUAACUGGUCUGAGAGGAUGAUCAGUCACACUGGAACUGAGACACGGUCCAGACUCCUACGGGAGGCAGCAGUGGGGAAUAUUGGACAAUGGGCGAAAGCCUGAUCCAGCCAUGCCGCGUGUGUGAAGAAGGUCUUCGGAUUGUAAAGCACUUUAAGUUGGGAGGAAGGGCAGUAAGUUAAUACCUUGCUGUUUUGACGUUACCAACAGAAUAAGCACCGGCUAACUUCGUG
rnacentral:rRNA from 1 species